AAAUCUAAGGUGGAGGUUGGGGAGAAAAGAGAUGAUGGUAUGGUGAGAUGUCUACUGAACUGCUCCUGCCAAGGCCCCUCCCCAUGUACUCUCAACAAAAGUUGCAGGCAGCCACCUCUCAACAACCCAUGAAGUGUCUGGAGCUCCACCCUCUGCUCAAGAGGAACGGCACAUGACCCAGGCCUAUGCCAAUCAGCAUUUCACAUUCCUCAUGAUUGGUUCAAAGGUUUACCAAGCUGUCUUCUGAUCUGUGGUUUAGCCCUUUGACUGCA
rnacentral:lncRNA from 1 species